UACGAAGGGGGGCUAGCGUUGCUCGGAAUGACUGGGCGUAAAGGGCGCGUAGGCGGAUGGCACAGUCAGAUGUGAAAUUCCCGGGCUUAACCUGGGGGCUGCAUUUGAUACGUGUUGUCUUGAGUUCGGAAGAGGGUCGUGGAAUUCCCCAGUGUAGAGGUGAAAAUUCGUAGAUAUUGGGAAGAACACCGGUGGCGAAGGCGGCGACCUGGUCCGACACUGACGCUGAGGCGCGAAAGCGUGGGGAGCAAACAGG
rnacentral:rRNA from 1 species